GAUUAACGCGAAGAACCUUACCAGGCCUUGACAUGCAGAGAACUUUCCAGAGAUGGAUUGGUGCCUUCGGGAACUCUGACACAGGUGCUGCAUGGCUGUCGUCAGCUCAUGUCGUGAGAUGUUGGGUUAAGUCCCGUAACGAGCGCAACCCUUGUCCUUAGUUACCAGCACGUUAUGGUGGGCACUCUAAGGAGACUGCCGGUGACAAACCGGAGGAAGGUGGGGAUGACGUCAAGUCAUCAUGGCCCUUACGGCCUGGGCUACACACGUGCUACAAUGGUCGGUACAGAGGGUUGCCAAGCCGCGAGGUGGAGCUAAUCUCACAAAACCGAUCGUAGUCCGGAUCGCAGUCUGCAACUCGACUGCGUGAAGUCGGAAUCGCUAGUAAUCGCGAAUCAGAAUGUCGCGGUGAAUACGUUCCCGGCCUUGUACACACCGAA
rnacentral:rRNA from 1 species